rnacentral:ncRNA from 1 species
ACAAAAGCUAUGAUAAGAAAUAGUAAGCAUCCUGGAUUUUCAGAGAGAGGGCGGCUGGUGCGAGCCCUUAAUGAAAGGAUGCCCAACCGGUCUUUGAGCUGUGGGCCGAAGUAAUAGUAAGCCUUGCCGGGUUCUCCCGUUACAGAGAUAUGGCAUCGGAUGAUUUCCUGUGCCGGAGAGUGCAGAUUCUAUCUGAAUGCAGGUGGUACCACGGACUUAUGUAUAGUUCGCCCUGGGU